rnacentral:tRNA from 1 species
GGGUGCGUAGCUCAGUCGGUAGAGCAUCGGGCUUUUAACUCGGUGGCCGUAGGUUCGAGUCCUAUCGCACCUA